AACACAGAGAGGAUUCAAACUGAACAGAAAGGCUUGUGGAUACAGUCUGAACUGGAUUUUACUGUUGUGAUGGAGCAGUUUUUUGAAAACUUUUUUUCAGGAGAAAGAACAGAAAGAAGACCGUCGUUGAAGUUGAGAUCUCUGCUGACACAUCCUAAAGACAGGACCAGCGUAAGAGGUAAACUGGAGAGUACCAAACCAAAGAUGGUCACAGCGUCAACUGGGAAGGAGUGGUAAAGAUCCACAUCUAACGCCAGACACCAGCAGCUCUUUCCAAGAGGAGCAGGUGCAGCUCGGCCUUCACUUCCUCUGAAGGACACACGUUCAGCUGCGUCCUUUGAUGGAUCUCGCUCCUCAACUGGGACACGACUCGCUCUGUCUCCUGACUCUAACCUCACUUUUCCUGUAGAAGCCAUUUCAAGGCAUUUUUUACCCUUUUUACAUUUUACUCCUUGUAGUUCACUGCAAUAUAUAAAAUAUGUAUUUAAUCUAUAAGUCCUGCAGCUCUAUGGAAUGAGCACAAUGAUGGAAUUCAAAAAUGUCUUUGUGCAGAAUAACAGUUAUAAUGACAUAAAUCAUAUAAAAAGAAAAAAACACAAGUUUAAUUUCUCAAAAAAAAAAACAUUU